rnacentral:rRNA from 1 species
UACGUAGGGGGCUAGCGUUGUCCGGAUUUAUUGGGCGUAAAGAGCGUGUAGGCGGCCAGGUAGGUCCGUUGUGAAAACUCGAGGCUCAACCUCGAGACGUCGGCGGAAACCCUUUGGCUAGAGUCCGGAAGAGGAGAAUGGAAUUCCCGGUGUAGCGGUGAAAUGCGCAGAUAUCGGGAAGAACACCCGUGGCGAAGGCGGUUCUCUGGGACGGUACUGACGCUGAGACGCGAAAGCGUGGGGAGCGAACAGG